UACGUAGGGUGCAAGCGUUGUCCGGAAUCAUUGGGCGUAAAGAGCGUGUAGGCGGCCCGAUAAGUCCGCUGUGAAAUCUCGAGGCUCAACUUCGAGCUGUCGGUGGAAACUGUCUGGCUAGAGUCCGGAAGAGGAGAAUGGAAUUCCUGGUGUAGCGGUGAAAUGCGCAGAUAUCAGGAAGAACACCCGUGGCGAAGGCGGUUCUCUGGGACGGUACUGACGCUGAGACGCGAAAGCGUGGGUAGCAAACAGG
rnacentral:rRNA from 1 species